GUGAUUUGGCAAGUUGACCUUGUGGCGUCCAAUGGACUUGAUGAUUAGCCACAGAAUAUAGAAGCUGAACCAGACGGUGAAGUACAAAGAUUGGCGACAUUUCCAUUAUAUAAAUAAUUGCUGCGGCGUUUUUAUUCAAGUCAAAAAAAAGAAGCACAAUUUUGCUUAAAUGUUCAUCUGAUACCUUCUUCAGGUAAUUUAUUAAGCGUAGUUCUUUAUAAAACCUGAUUUAACUUUAUAGAUGAGCCUCGAACCAUGUCUCUAAUUUUCAUUAUUAUAAUACAACAAAAUAUUUGGGAAAAUGGGUUUGCUUAGACUCUAAAAAUAACAAGACUAUUACAAAAAGAUCACCAAAAACCGGCCAAAAAUUGAAUUGUUAGGCACUUAAAGGCAUUCAGCAACUGUGGAUUUGAACCCGCAACCUGCCCGCAUCAAGUUUUGAUCUUUAAAGUCAAUGCAGAGCCUAGAAAAUACUUGGCUCAUAUCGAACCUCAAUUAUUCAGGCCCUUGGCCGCAACAGAAUGAAGUCGAGAGCUGCUUAACUCGAAAAAAGAAGCUGCUAAUCAAUAUCAAACACCAAGAUAGCUACAGCGAUUAAUGCAUGUAAUACACAAGCCAAAUUAAAAGAUUUCUUGACUACAAGAGAAGCCCAUGGGGCACGUUGUCAACGACAACGCUGCGUAGAAUCCAUGGAUGUGGGUCAAGAGAUGGCCGCAGCAAUUGCGUGCCGGCGUCGAUUAACACCCGGUCAGGCGUGCCAUAGAUUAUUGACGCAGCUCAUUUACAGAUUCUAUGAAAAAAUAUGGAUUAAAGUACAUAGCAGCAUAGAAAGAAGAACGCGGGGAGAAUAAGUUAGACAAAUAGUACAUAUUUUUCUUUCGAUAACUUUUACUUAUUUACACGCAGUUGUCUUUAUUUGUUUUAUUUACCAGAAAUAUGUAUAAUUUAUAUAAUAAUUGCAAGUCUUUUAAAUGUUAGUAGAAGAAGUUUUUGUCAUUGGAACAAGCAACAAUAAAAUCGAACAUUUUAAAAGCUAACAAGAAA